CAUGCGUAUAAUCAUCCCAAAACAUUCCAGUUCAGUAAUCCGUCAAAUCGUGUCUCUGAUCUCCAGUUUGAACUUCGCUGCUUUAGAAAACUGCACCAUCGAGAAUCUCCAGAGUCAAUGCAACAGCACGUGACAUAGGACUGCCCGAACGCUCAGAUACAGAGGACCAAUCAGCUAGUAGAUAUUGCAUCAUGUGGCACAGACGGGGGGUUUGGGCUAACAUUAAGUAAUAUGUGAGGUUGUGCUUCUACUCUUUCGUCCAAUAAGCGCUCGCUCGCAUGAAUGUACGAUGCCCCGCCUCUAGUUAGCAACGCUGCCUCCCUUCAAUGCCCUCUUCUUUUCCAUCUCAUCGGGUUGCCAUAGAGACAGCGGCCUUGCCGCCUCAUGCGCCGUUGCUGCCCGGUUCUGUUUGUAAACAGCCCCGGGGACCCGCCUCCCUCACCUUCCUCCUCCUGCCCCCGCCCACCGGAGCCUCCCCCAUCCAAGAUGGCGGCGGGUGGGAGCGGCGGCCUGUCGUUUCCCGGGGUGGUGGGGAACAGCGCCCCCAGCAACCGCGGUGGCUCCUCGGCCUCCUCGUACAACUAUAGCGGCGGGGCUGGGGCCUCGUCCCCCGGGAAUCAGGCAGCUGCUGCAGUUUCGGCAUCUGGAGUUUCGCCUCCUGCUGCACCACCGCCGCCUCCUCCUGCUGCUGCUGCUGCUGCUGGCCUGCUCCGGGAGCCCGUGUACAACUGGCAGGCCACCAAAACCACGGUGCGGGAAAGGUUCACCUUCCUCUUCAACAACGAAGUGCUAAGCGACGUCCACUUCCUUGUGGGGAAAGGACUGGGAAGCCAGCGGAUCCCGGCGCACAGGUUUGUGUUGGCUGUGGGAAGUGCAGUCUUUGAUGCUAUGUUUAAUGGUGGAAUGGCUACAACGUCCACAGAAAUAGAAUUGCCAGAUGUUGAACCUGCUGCAUUCCUUGCUUUGUUAAAGUUCCUUUACUCUGAUGAAGUACAGAUCGGUCCAGAGACUGUAAUGACAACUUUAUACACGGCCAAGAAAUAUGCUGUACCUGCCCUGGAGGCGCACUGCGUGGAAUUUCUAAAGAAGAACCUUCGAGCAGAUAAUGCUUUUAUGUUGCUUACACAGGCUCGGCUGUUUGAUGAACCUCAGCUAGCAAGCCUUUGUCUGGAAAACAUUGAUAAGAAUACCUCAGAUGCCCUAAAUGCAGAGGGUUUCACUGACAUCGAUUUAGAUACACUAGUUGCUGUGCUAGAACGGGACACCCUGGGAAUACGAGAAAUUCGACUUUUUAAUGCAGUUGUACGUUGGUCAGAAGCAGAAUGCCAGCGGCAGCAACACCCAGUUACCUCUGAGAAUAAGAGAAAGUCUCUUGGCAAAGCAUUGUCUCUUAUCCGCUUUCCUCUCAUGACUAUUGAGGAGUUUGCAGCAGGCCCUGCUCAGUCUGGAAUUUUGACUGACCGGGAGGUCGUCAGCCUUUUUCUGCAUUUUACUGUAAACCCAAAACCUCGAGUAGAGUUUAUAGACCGGCCUCGGUGUUGCUUACGAGGAAAAGAAUGUAAUAUCAACCGUUUCCAGCAGGUGGAGAGUCGCUGGGGUUACAGCGGAACUAGUGACAGAAUAAGGCAGGUUUUCAGUCAAUCGCAGAAUAUUUGUGGUGGGGUUUGCGUUGUAUGGCUCAAUACAUGGCCCCACAGAUUACCAAGUUAACAUACAGAUUAUCCACACAGACAGCAAUACAGUGCUUGGUCAGAAUGACACCGGAUUCAGUUGUGAUGGAUCCUCCAGCACCUUUAGAGUCAUGUUUAAAGAACCGGUAGAAAUUCUCCCUAAUGUCAACUACACCGCAUGCGCCACUUUAAAGGGUCCUGAUUCUCACUAUGGUACAAAAGGACUGCGCAAAGUAAUCCACGAAUCUGCUACAACGGGCACCAAAACAUGCUUCACCUUCUGCUAUGCAGCAGGGAACAACAAUGGCACCUCUGUUGAAGAUGGACAGAUUCCUGAAAUAAUCUUCUACACAUAGGUGGGAGAGAGAACAUUCUGUAUCAGACCAGGCUGUUUUUUGGACACUCUGUGGGUGCAAGGUGUGGCUGGCCUUAUUCAGAUGCUGAAUGUUGUGUUGAGACUUCCAGUUUUGGCAAAAUGACCUAUAUUACCUCCUUCCAUACCUCUGAAACUUAGCUUGUCAUGGGCUUUUGGCAUGGCUAAGAUGCUUUCUCAACCGUGUACACUUGCUUUUCUCAGUCAGACAGGCAAAUGCCUCAGUGUAUAUAUAUAUAUCCUUGGCAGUAACACCAGAAUCUGUUCAUCUGGUGGCACCUUAAUCCUUGUGUAAGGAUACUAGGCUGUUGAAUGGUUAGAUUCAGUUUAUUCUCUAAGUUAAAACAAACUAUAAAUAAACUAUAAACUUCCUUUGCAGUGGGGUAGAUAAAUGUAUACACACUUAUAAACAGUGUGAGGGUAUAUAAUAUAUACACAUACAGAACUCGUGUAUAGAAUAGAUAUAUUCUAGUCCAGUUACAUAAUGUGGUGGAAUUAUUUGUUCCGUUUAGCCACUGCCUUUAAUACUCCACCUAUGGCACUGAAAUGGUCUACUCCCGCUUGUUUCUUUUUAAGACAUUUUUAUUUUGUCUGUGACAUUUCAGCUCCUUUUGAAGUUCCCCUUGACUCUGUGUAGAGGAAGGGCUAGGAUCAGCAUUUCAUUUAAGUGAAUAGUGGAGUGCAUCUAAUAUGCCACAAAGAGGGAAGUAAAAACCAUAUGGCUUAAGCCACGUUAUUAAAGUUAAUAAAGAUAAAAAUUUAUAAGCUAUUUUUGGAAUGUAUAUAAAGUUUAAAGUACUUAACUUGGUUAUUAAACCUGCAGAUGAAAAUGUUUAGCAAUUAUAUGAAGGUGUCAGAAAUCCUAAUGUAAGGAUCCUAAAGGGGCACAGUCUGUUCUCUGUUCAGCAGUUUCAGCCUUUACAAGGGAACUCAUUGUCACCCUAAGAUUUCCAGAUUUGUGCUCCUGACCUUUGUAAUUAUUCUGAAUGUAAAUAUAAUGGCUGCUUGCUUUUCUUUGGUCCUUAGUAAGGAUAUACUUUUUUUUUUUAUUUUAUUUUCCCCAUGAGAAAAUUGCUUUACUUCUUGAAUGUACUUAAGGUCUCCUAGAUCUGCCUUUGUCUGCACUCCUUUUACAUUACCUGCUUCUGACUUUGUAAAUAGAAGUCAAUAAAGACGUAUAAGAAAUAA